AGUGAACGCUGGCGGUAGGCCUAACACAUGCAAGCCGAACGGCAGCACAGUAAGAGCUUGCUCUUACGGGUGGCGAGUGGCGGGCGGGUGAGGAAUACAUCGGAAUCUACUUUUUCGUGGGGGAUAACGUAGGGAAACUUACGCUAAUACCGCAUACGACCUACGGGUGAAAGCAGGGGAUCUUCGGACCUUGCGCGAUUGAAUGAGCCGAUGUCGGAUUAGCUAGUUGGCGGGGUAAAGGCCCACCAAGGCGACGAUCCGUAGCUGGUCUGAGAGGAUGAUCAGCCACACUGGAACUGAGACACGGUCCAGACUCCUACGGGAGGCAGCAGUGGGGAAUAUUGGACAAUGGGCGCAAGCCUGAUCCAGCCAUACCGCGUGGGUGAAGAAGGCCUUCGGGUUGUAAAGCCCUUUUGUUGGGAAAGAAAAGCAGCAGGUUAAUACCCCGCUGUUCUGACGGUACCCAAAGAAUAAGCACCGGCUAACUUCGUG
rnacentral:rRNA from 1 species